rnacentral:rRNA from 1 species
UACGGAGGGUGCAAGCGUUGUCCGGAUUUAUUGGGUUUAAAGGGUGCGUAGGCGGCCAUUUAAGUCUGGGGUGAAAGCCCGUUGCUCAACAACGGAACUGCCCUGGAAACUGGAUGGCUUGAGUACAGACGAGGGUGGCGGAAUGGAUGCUGUAGCGGUGAAAUGCAUAGAUAGCAUCCAGAACCCCGAUUGCGAAGCAGCUGCC